UACAGAGGUCCCGAGCGUUGUUCGGAUUCACUGGGCGUAAAGGGUGCGUAGGUGGUGAAGUAAGUCGGAUGUGAAAUCUCGGAGCUUAACUCCGAAACUGCAUUGGAAACUACUUUGCUCGAGGGUUGGAGGGGGGACUGGAAUUCUCGGUGUAGCAGUGAAAUGCGUAGAUAUCGGGAGGAACACCAGUGGCGAAGGCGGUUACCUGGAGCUUUGCUGACGCUGAUGCGCGAAAGCGUGGGGAGCGAUCCGG
rnacentral:rRNA from 1 species